GCGCAGCGCUCUCCUCACAGCCCAGGUCCUGUCAGGGCGGCAGCGAUCACCUCCCGGUCCCGGGCUCCCACCACCACCAUCCCCGAUUAAUCCGCUCACAAGGGGUCCGAAUUGGCACCCUUGGCUCCUUUGAUGUGGUCCCCGCAUGGAUCCGGGUUGGGGACGAGGUGGUGAUUAUCCAGAGGCCCGUGUUUCAGCUGGCAAGGGAACCUCGUGGUUGUCCACAACCUCAGGGACAACAAGGACUACCUGCCUGACUAUAAGGAGCUGGAGGCCCUCAAAUACGCCAAGGUGGCCGAUGCCGCCUCGGUGUCCCGGCAGAAGGUGGAGAACUGUGUCCAAGGCACCAUGUCCCUCCUCUCUUACUGCCUGUGGAAGGGGGAGAACGUCGCCCUUUUCCUGAAGGACAUGGGGGUGCUCCUCAUCGAAGGCACGAGGGUACAAAUGAAGUAGUACUGUGAAUUCCUGGAGAAGAGCUCUGGGCAGGAAAGUUUGGAGAAAGCUGUUUUUAAGGUCCCUUGGCUGCUGGACAUGGUGGUGUCCCCGCUGGUGCCCGUGGCCUCGCUGACGUUUUCUGGCCGCAUCAUCAUCAUCCUCUUUCCCAAGGCCACCUCCUAAGAGCUGAGGAACGGGCGAUUCCAAAAUGCCGCAAGUCAAGCAGGUGGGGCAGAAGGCCGGCUUGGCUGAACAAGGAUCUUCUUCUAGAGCUUAGGUGGAAGAAGAAAGCGUACGGCCGCUGGACGCAGGGUCAGGCGACGUGGGAGGACUACAGGGACGCUGGCUCGCCUUCGUAGGGAGAAAAUUCGUGCGGCCAAAGCUCAGAGUUGAAGCUGGCCAGGACUGUGGGGGACAAUUAAAAGGGCUUUUUAAAAUAUGUUAAUAACAAAAGGAGGAGCGGAGAGAAUAUCGGCUCGUUACUCGACGAGAACGGUCACCUGACAAACAGGGACGUAGACAAAGCAGAGACGUUUGAUGCCUUCUUCACCUCUGUCUUCAACGCUGAUGACGGGCUCUGGGACCCCAGAUGCCCCGAGUUGGGGGACCGUGACUGCAGUAACGAUAAACUCCCAGCUGACCCCGAAAUCGUGCGGGACUUGCUGCUCCACCCGGAUGCGUACAAGUCCAUGGGAUCUGAUGGGAUUCAUCCCAGGGUGCUCAGGGAGCUGGCUGAUGUCAUCGCGACACUUCUCUCAAUUAUUUUUCCAACGGUCUCAGGAAUCUGGCGAGGUCCCGGUUGACUGGAAGCUGGCAGACGUCGUUCCAAUCUUCAAGAAGGGCAAGAACGAAGACCCCCGUCAGUCUCACUUCAGUGCCCGGUAAAAUCAGGGAGGAAAUUACGCUGGGAGUUACCGAAAAACACCCGAAGGACGACGCAGUCGCUGGUCACAGCCAACACGGGGUCGUGAGGGGAAGGGCCUAACAAACUUUGUUUCCUUGUACGAUGAGGUCACCCGUCUGGUUGACCAAGGCAAGCCAGCUGAUGUCAUUUCUUUUAUUUUUUUUUAUUUUUUUUUUUAGAUUUCAAUAAAGCUUUCCAUAACCGUC